AACCAUUCUCACCUGCGGCUAGACCUGCGGAAGGAUCAUUACAAGUGACCCCGGUUUACCACCGGGAUGUUCAUAACCCUUUGUUGUCCGACUCUGUUGCCUCCGGGGCGACCCUGCCUUCGGGCGGGGGCUCCGGGUGGACACUUCAAACUCUUGCGUAACUUUGCAGUCUGAGUAAACUUAAUUAAUAAAUUAAAACUUUCAACAACGGAUCU
rnacentral:misc_RNA from 1 species